rnacentral:rRNA from 1 species
CUCCCAAACCCCUGUGAACAUACCAAUUGUUGCCUCGGCGGAUCAGCCCGCUCCCGGUAAAACGGGACGGCCCGCCAGAGGACCCCUAAACUCUGUUUCUAUAUGUAACUUCUGAGUAAAACCAUAAAUAAAUCAAAACUUUCAACAACGGAUCUCUUGGUUCUGGCAUCGAUGAAGAACGCAGCAAAAUGCGAUAAGUAAUGUGAAUUGCAGAAUUCAGUGAAUCAUCGAAUCUUUGAACGCACAUUGCGCCCGCCAGUAUUCUGGCGGGCAUGCCUGUUCGAGCGUCAUUUCAACCCUCAAGCCCAGCUUGGUGUUGGGACUCGCGAGUUAAAUCGCGUUCCCCAAAUUGAUUGGCGGUCACGUCGAGCUUCCAUAGCGUAGUAGUAAAACCCUCGUUACUGGUAAUCGUCGCGGCCACGCCGUUAAACCCCAACUUCUGAAUGUUGACCUCGGAUCAGGUAGGAAUACCCGCUGAAC